UUUUAAAAAACCCAGCCCUAUAAACAGCUUUGCCUUUUUUAUUUUUUUAAAUUCUGCCUAUGCUUACGUCUCUUGGGCUACCACCAGACUCUUGUUUGCAGAGCAGAAGGUUUUGUGUUAGUGGGAACCCUAUUUUGCCUUAAGGAAAAAAAAAAAAAACAUAAAGACGGUCUUACCUAAUAAGGAAUGCUUCUUAACACAAGAUUCUAUUUUUAACUUAAAACUUUUAAAAUUUCUUUCUAAAUACAUUUUGAAAUGACAUGUGGAAUGUAAAUCUACUUGGCGAGGUCCUGAGGCAGCCCCAUCUUCCCUCUGGGCUCCAGAGCCGAGGCUGGGGGAUUGCGGCUCUAAUUUGCACUGCUGAGGAUGCUAGGCCCUUCUUCCUUUUGCUUCCCAGACCUGACAGGGCCAAGGCGAAGUUGUAAUGUCACUUGUAACGAGUGAACUGGAGGGAUGCUGAAGAUGCUGGCCGGGGGCCGGUAUGUCCCACAGAAGCUUGACAUCAAGCUGGACCCCAGGCUGGAGAGGAAGAAUGGGCUCGAAAGUCCUUCUCAGACCUUCACAUACACUACAGCACUCAUGACUACAGCUACAGCACAGAAGUGUACACACACACACACACACACACACACACACACACACACACACACAAAUAUACACAAAUUGCCUUUGGUAGCUGUUCCUCUAUAAGCCUCUAAAACUGUGUCCAGAUCUAGCUAACUGGAGCAUGGAAGGCGAGUUUAAGCUAAGAGGAAGGCUAGGAAAAUCCUAGCAGGAGGACAGAGGGGAAAUACCAGUAGCGAGGGAAGAGGUGCUUCUCUGUGUUUAGUAAUGGGGAGCUCCCCCAGCUAAAGCUUUGCUCCUUGUUAAAGUGUUUCAUUAGUUUCUUAAUUAACCCAUUAAUCAUUAAUCAGUUCACUAAUUAGCAAACAUUUAUUGAAUAUUUAUUGUGGACCCGGAACUCUGCUUGGUAUGGAGGAUAUGUUAAUAGUGAAGAUGAGUUCGGAGCUGGCAGAGGGAUCCAGCCCCGAGCAUCCAACAGCAAACGGUACCGUGCGCUGCUUAUGUUCUGUGUACGCCUUUAAGAGCCCAGGGUACGGCUAUGAAUGAAGAAGAUAAAGAUAAACCUUUGCCUUCAAGGUUAGUGAUAGAUAAGGGGCCUUAAUAAAACCAGAAAUACCCAACAAGGGCGAGGGUAGUGUCGAUGCCUUGGAGAACAGGGCCCAUGGAGUAAGGAGCAAGACCUCAGUCAGGUUCAAGAGGGACUGGAUUGCUCAGGCUCACGGGAUACAGGAAGUACUUCCACUUUAGCUCUGAGUGAGAUGGGGAGGCCUGAUGACUUCUGAGCAGAAAGAACCAUGUGUUUUCACAGGAUCAGGGCGGCUGCCUCGUGAAGAAGUCAGAAGUCUCCACUGGGGGAGGGAAACAGGGAAGCUGGGUGGAGAGGGCUGUCUCAACUCAGCCAUUAAGAUAGGGGAGCUGGUGUAGGAGGAUUGGCCACAGUGGGGAUGUUAGAAGUACCCCAGACUGUCGCCGGAGGCUCUGAAGGAUUGUGAGCAAGGCGUGUUAGCCCAGGUGAACCUGGGGUAUGCCUGAACUACUUUUUUUACGGCUCUGUCCAAAUAUCUCACAAGGAGCAAGACAGGGGAGUGCGUGAGUUAGGGCUCUCUAAAGGAACAGAACUGAUAGGGGAGUUUAUUCUGGAUUACAGUUUAAAGAGGAGAUAGUCCAGAAUCGUGGGAAGGCUCGGUCACAGGAGCUUGAGGCAGCUGGUCCUCCUGUGCUCACACCCAGGACUCAGACCACAGAUGGGAAGUGGGACCAACCAGUGAAACCUAAAGGCCCGUCUAAGUGGGCCCCUGCCUCUGAUGCCCCUGCCUCUGAUGCCCUCUGCCUCUGAUGCCCCCUGCCUCCUAAAGUUCCUAUAACCUUCCAAAGGAACACGCCUACCUGGGGCCAGGUGAUCAAACUCAAGAGCUGAGGGGAGAUUUCAUAAUCAAAAUACAGUGAAGUGC
rnacentral:lncRNA from 1 species